UACGAAGGGGGCUAGCGUUGCUCGGAAUGACUGGGCGUAAAGGGCGCGUAGGCGGCUUGCACAGUCAGGCGUGAAAUUCCUGGGCUCAACCUGGGGACUGCGCUUGAGACGUGUGGGCUUGAGUGGGGAAGAGGGUCGUGGAAUUCCCAGUGUAGAGGUGAAAUUCGUAGAUAUUGGGAAGAGCACCGGUGGCGAAGGCGGCCUUCUGGACGGUUACUGACGCUGAGACGCGAAAGCGUGGGGAGCAAACAGG
rnacentral:rRNA from 1 species